AUUGCCUCAGUAACGGCGAGUGAAGCGGCAACAGCUCAAAUUUGAAAUCUGGCCCCCUCGGGGUCCGAGUUGUAAUUUGGAGAGGAUGCUUCGGGUGUGGCCCCGGUCUAAGUUCCUUGGAACAGGACGUCACAGAGGGUGAGAAUCCCGUACGUGCCCGGUGGCCGCCCCCGUGUGAAGCUCCUUCGACGAGUCGAGUUGUUUGGGAAUGCAGCUCAAAAUGGGUGGUAAAUUUCAUCUAAAGCUAAAUAUUGGCCAGAGACCGAUAGCGCACAAGUAGAGUGAUCGAAAGAUGAAAAGCACUUUGGAAAGAGAGUUAAACAGUACGUGAAAUUGUUGAAAGGGAAGCGCUGGCAACCAGACUUGCGCGGGGUCGAUCAUCCGGUGUUCGCACCGGUGCACUCGGCCCCGCGCAGGCCAGCAUCGGUCUGGGCGGCUGGAUAAAGGCCUUGGGAAUGUGGCUCUCUUCGGGGAGUGUUAUAGCCCAAGGUGCAAUGCAGCCCGCCUGGACCGAGGACCGCGCUCCGGCUAGGAUGCUGGCGUAAUGGUUGUCAGCGACCCGUCUUGAAACACGGACCAAGGAGUCUAACAUCUAUGCGAGUGUUUGGGUGUCAAACCCAUACGCGUAAUGAAAGUGAACGGAGGUGAGAACCCUUAAGGGUGCAUCAUCGACCGAUCCUGAUGUCUUCGGAUGGAUUUGAGUAAGAGCAUAGCUGUUGGGACCCGAAAGAUGGUGAACUAUGCCUGAAUAGGGUGAAGCCAGAGGAAACUCUGGUGGAGGCUCGCAGCGGUUCUGACGUGCAAAUCGAUCGUCAAAUUUGGGCAUAGGGGCGAAAGACUAAUCGAACCAUUUGCUAGGUGGUUGAGAGGCAGCUGAAAAGAAUGUUUAGUGGGAGUCGCACCGCAACACUGUCAACUUGCGGGGACGUCCUGUUGAAGUAUAGCUACCGCCCCUAGAGUCGAAAGGCCUAGGGGCACCAGGGUAAUGACCUCGGGUAUGGUAACAACGCUAUAUGGAAGGAUAACCCGCAGCCAAACCCUGUAAAAUGGGCGCAGUUCACAGACUAAAUGUCAGUGGGUAAGAACUUGGGUUCUUGCUUAAGUUAUAGUCGGUCCCCUAGGUAACUAGGCCGGUUGGAAGAAGCCCGCAGGGGGCGAUCUCAUAUCAUGAGCCCUGCGUGCCCAAGCUAAUCGGGGGGUAACUAUAGCUUAUAGUCCCCGGGAUGAGAUCUUAUAUGUAGGUCCUCCCGGAUCGAUAUA
rnacentral:rRNA from 1 species